rnacentral:lncRNA from 13 species
CAGGUUGGCUUUCUUGGGUUUGAAUCACGUUAACAGUAUCAGUUAGGUUGGAUUCCUUAGGUGUGAUGCACAUUGACAGUAUCAGUUAGGUUGGCUUUCUUGGCUUUGAUGCACUAUGACAGUAUCAGUUAGGUUGUCUUUCUUGGGUUUGAAUCACGUUAACAGUAUCAGUUAGGUUGGCUUUCUUGCGUUUGAUGCACUACGACAGUAUUAGUUAGGUUGGCUUUCUUGGGUUUGAUGCACAUUGCCCGUAUCAGUUAGGUUGGCUUUCUUGGGUUUGUUGCACUACGACAGUAUUAGUUAGGUUGGCUUUCUUGGGUUUGAUGCACUACGACAGUACCAGUUAGAAUGGCUUUCUUGGGUUUGAUGCACAAUGACAGUAUCAGUUAGGUUGGCUUUCUUGGGUUUGAUGCACUACGACAGUAUCAGUUAGGUUGGCUUUCUUGGGUUCUAUGCACUAUGACAGUAUCAGUUAGGUUGGCUUUCUUGGGUUUGAUGCACGUUGACAGUAUCAGUUAGGUUAGCUUUCUUUGGUUUGAUGCACAUUGACAGUAUCAGUUAGGUUGGCUUUCUUGGGUUUUAAUCACGUUAACAGUAUCAGUUAGGUUGGCGUCCUUAGUUGUGAUGCACUAUGACAGUAUCAGUUAGGUUGGCUUUCUUGGGUGUGAUGCACUAUGACAGUAUCAGUUAGGUUGGCCUUCUUGGGGUUGAUGCACAUUGCCCGUAUCAGUUAGGUUGGCUUUAUUUGGUUUGUUGCACUACGACAGUAUCAGUUAGGUUGGCUUUCUUGGGUUUGAUGCACAUUGACAGUAUCAGUCAGGAUGACUUUCUUGGGUUUGAUGCUCUACGACAGUAUCAGUUAGGUUGGCUUUCUUGGGUUUGAUGCACUACGACAGUAUCAGUUAGGUUGGCUUU